rnacentral:rRNA from 1 species
UACGUAGGGUGCGAGCGUUAAUCGGAAUUACUGGGCGUAAAGCGUGCGCAGGCGGUUUUGUAAGCCAGAUGUGAAAUCCCCCGGGCUUAACCCUGGGAAUGGCAUUUGGGACUGCAAGGCUUGAGUGCGGCAGAGGAGACUGGAAUCCUGGUGUAGCAGUGAAAUGCGUAGAUAUCAGGAGGAACACCCGAUGGCGAAGGCAGGUCUCUCGGGC